GAACCGAGAAACAGACACAGCGACUGAAAGCAUCCGUUUUCCGACUGCCUUUUCAUAGCAUUCGCAGUGUUUUUUCCGUUCGAGUGGACCAACGAGAAAAAGGUGCCGCGAGUGUCGUUCGUACCGAACGAUUGUUUAAUUGAAAACAGUGUGCACAGCACCGCGUUUAUCGGACUCGGCGAAUCAUUUUCUUUUCGGUCCGAUUGUCGCCAUCAGAAAGCGGAAAACGAAGCACAGAAAGUGUCCCACGAGGACGGGUCUCGAAGCGAGCACAUUCCGGCCGCCAACCCCACUCACUCACCGAGUAAAAAGCGAAAAGAUCGGAAAAAUCGGACCGUGUUACUUAUCACUCCGGUCCUGGCAAGCAAAAUCGGUGAGCAAGAUCCCUGUCGCAGAAGAAUCAGCUCGACGGACAAGUUCGGAUAAAGACCAGCCGGAGGAAAGUUUGCGUUUCGCUAAGUGAGCCGAAGUCCACCGGGACUGAUCAAUCCGGCAACUGGUCGGAAAAGUUUUAUCAUCUAGAACGAAACACUGAGUUAGGAGAAGCCUUCACGAGAAGGCUUCUUUGGUGUAGCUGAAGUUUUAGCGGAGCAGCUGAUUUUCGUCGUCGUUCUUUUGCGCAACUGGAUUUCCUUAGCAUAGCCGAAGUUACCAAUUUCCGGCGACCGUCCAUUGGAUGUCGGAGUGCUAACCUCGGAGUCAGUUCUUCGGUAUUUAGGCCGAUUGCCAAGUCAGCGAAUAUUCUUUGGAGGCAAACACGACUUCCGGGCGAGCAAUCCAGCAGGGUGCAGAGGUGCUAAAAGGGCGUCGAGAGAAGCGAUAAGACGAUUGCUGAGGGUCGCACGGAAUUGCGUGAGCCACGGAGGCUGCCGAUAGUGAGCGGAGACGAGCGCGGCUUGUAAGUGCGUGCCAUACAUCGACAGCCGAGUCGCGGAGCCGGAUUGCGUGUGGCGAGAGGCUCAAUCCAGUAUGAAUAUGAAGCCGAGCAUCAGGAAUUGUGGCAUUAAGACGGUGGCGCGGACGCGUGUUUCUGUAGCGUGAGUAAAAAACCAUGGUUUAGCUAGGGCUGAGAAUAGGAGUUAGGGCAAUGAUUUAUUCCUAAGAAAGGGCAUGCUAGCUCAAUAAAUAUCUGCAUCAUGUAUAUGUUUCGUUGUUGA